UACAGAGGGGGCAAGCGUUGUUCGGAAUUACUGGGCGUAAAGGGCGCGUAGGCGGCCCUGGUAAGUCUGCGGUGAAAGCCCGGGGCUCAACCCCGGGUCGGCCGCGGGUACUGCCGGGCUGGAGUGCCGUAGGGGCAGGCGGAAUUCCGGGUGUAGCGGUGGAAUGCGUAGAGAUCCGGAAGAACACCGGUGGCGAAGGCGGCCUGCUGGGCGGCGACUGACGCUGAGGCGCGACAGCGUGGGGAGCAAACAGG
rnacentral:rRNA from 1 species